rnacentral:rRNA from 1 species
AUUGAACGCUGGCGGCAUGCCUUACACAUGCAAGUCGAACGGCAGCACGGGUGCUUGCCCCUGGUGGCGAGUGGCGAACGGGUGAGUAAUACAUCGGAACAUGUCCCGUAGUGGGGGAUAGCCCGGCGAAAGCCGGAUUAAUACCGCAUACGAUCUACGGAUGAAAGCGGGGGACCUUCGGGCCUCGCGCUAUAGGGUCGGCCGAUGGCUGAUUAGCUAGUUGGUGGGGUAAAGGCCUACCAAGGCGACGAGCAGUAGCUGGACUGAGAGGACGACCAGCCACACUGGGACUGGGACACGGCCCAGACUCCUACGGGAGGCAGCAGUGGGGAAUUUUGGACAAUGGGCGAAAGCCUGAUCCAGCAAUGCCGCGUGUGUGAAGAAGGCCUUCGGGUUGUAAAGCACUUUUGUCCGGAAAGAAAUCCUUGGCCCUAAUACGGUCGGGGGAUGACGGUACCGGAAGAAUAAGCACCGGCUAACUACGUG